UGGCAGCCUUAGUAAUGUCAUAAAAUAUUUUUAAUACAGUUGACUGAAUUUAACGUGAAUUUAAUUAAAACAUUGUAAGUUACUAAUUAGAACACUUUUAUUGUACAGAAAGAGAAAAAAAUAUAUAAUUUACAUUAUCAAAGAACAUUAUCAUUGAAUUCAAGCACUCUCAAAAACUCCCAUUAAUCACUUAAGUUGGUUACAUUGUGAAAUGAAUAUCUUGCUUACAUCGUACACACAUCUGCACUUUGUUGUUUCUGAUGAGAGAAAUCAGCAGAGAGCAGAAUUCAGUCAGCAAGCGUGCGCACUGAAAAAAACAGCUGUUUCAGCGAUGACUCAUCUGAACGCCUCUUAUUGGCCAUUGUACUCAUAAGCUCAACAGAAUCAUGUGUGAUUGGUUCUAAUGACCAGUGCUGUAGCUACAAACGCGUACCAGCCAGCGAAGUUGAAGUUGUGCGAACGCAGAUUUAAAUUUAGCAGCUAAUGAUGUGCCGCAUUGUACGAUCUAAUCACACCGGCGUUAUCGUUUAUCAAAUAUAAAAAAUAUUAUUCUGCUUUUUUGUUUGUCUUUUGGAAGCUGCAUUCAAAAUCCACUUGCCUCAAAAAUCUGAGGGGGUACGGCUGAAAUUGCGGGAGUGGUGUUAUUUCGGCUGGGCCCCCCUCUGGUCCAGUGCCCUGCCCGGUAGGCCCUUGCAUUAAUCUGUCCCUGGGUGGGUCAACUUACCCCACUCUCCCCUACUUCCAUUGAAGAUGAGACAGAAGCAGGCUCAGAAAGUGAGGGAGAGCCCACUCUUAUCAAAACAUCUACAAUAAAGUCAAUUAUUACAGGGUGUGCUAUCUUCUCUUUUAAUUGUAUAUUUGUAACAACUGGAUAAUUUGUAUUAACAAGCACUAACCCUCCUUGUGCCCCUUUUUUUAGUUUGGGCCCCUGCCCCUCAAAAUGUCUGUGCAGGGCCCUGCCCUAAUGCAUAUUGACUAAUUGUUUACGAGAAGCAUACAUAUAAGAGGCUGACAAAUAGCUGAAUAUAUAGCUUACUUGUUUAAUUAGUGACACUUAGCCUGCAUUUUAAAAUCUUUAUAUGAAUGUGGCAAUUAACAUUUUUAUUUUAAAACCUUUAUUUGAAUAUGGCAACAUAAUAUUGUGCUCUACAAUAUUUCAUGAAUACAUCUCUGACAGAGACUAUCAGACAUUCACUGUGUGCAUAGUUAGUAAGUAUGCUGACAUCAUCCAUAGCAAUGAGGUCAACCCCGCCCUUACUCUUAGCUUAAGACUUCUCUCUAUUCCUUCGUAAAAUUUUGUCUCAACAGCUUUGUGAAUAGGUUUUAAGAGAAAACUGUUAGCUAAAAACUUGUACUGCUAUUUAGGAGAACUCUUAGGUACAAGAUAAAAUGUUUUGUGAAUAGGGACCCUGAUGUGAUCUGUGAUGCACUGUAAUGGUGAUGAAAAAAAAUCAGUUAUCACAUAAAAUCUAUUUAUAUGAAUAUAAUGUGUAUUUUCUAGUGGUAUAUAAUGUCUGUAUAACAUAAUAUAGCAUAACUGUGUAAUAAACGUAUUGGCUUGAAAUGAAUGGGGCUAUCAAAGGUGUGUAAAUCAAGUGUUUGCUCAUAACAGGCAGGAGGGGCAAUAAUAUUAGUCUAAAACUGGAAAGUGGCUGGGUUUAACAGGGCAGAGGACUGUGAAUUUACAAGAUUUGAACUGCUUCCUGAACCAGUCAGGCCAAGCGAGGCUUCGGACGCCAUCAAUUACGUCACUGCUCUAAAGCGAUACAAGCCUCGAUACACGCUUCACUGAAAGCUGCCGGGAUUUAUCUACACACGCUCCGAAGCCUU
ensembl:lncRNA